GACGAACGCUGGCGGCGUGCUUAACACAUGCAAGUCGAACGGAAAGGCCCUGCUUGCAGGGUACUCGAGUGGCGAACGGGUGAGUAACACGUGGGUGAUCUGCCCUGCACUUCGGGAUAAGCUUGGGAAACUGGGUCUAAUACCGGAUAGGAACCAUCUUAAGUGUGGUGGUUGGAAAGUUUUUUCGGUGUAGGAUGAGCUCGCGGCCUAUCAGCUUGUUGGUGGGGUAAUGGCCUACCAAGGCGGCGACGGGUAGCCGGCCUGAGAGGGUGUACGGCCACAUUGGGACUGAGAUACGGCCCAGACUCCUACGGGAGGCAGCAGUGGGGAAUAUUGCACAAUGGGCGCAAGCCUGAUGCAGCGACGCCGCGUGGGGGAUGAAGGCCUUCGGGUUGUAAACUCCUUUCGCUAGGGACGAAGCUUUUUGUGACGGUACCUAGAUAAGAAGCACCGGCUAACUACGUG
rnacentral:rRNA from 1 species